rnacentral:tRNA from 1 species
UGGUUCAGUGGUAGAAUCCUUGUCUACUACACAGGGGACUUGGGUUUGAUUCCCAG